CGGGGCGUAGCUCAGCCUGGCCAGAGCGCGUGGUUUGGGACCAUGAGGUCGCAGGUUCGAAUCCUGUCGCCCCGA
rnacentral:tRNA from 1 species